AUGUGCAUCACCAGAGGGCGCAUGCACUGGACAUGAGGACUGCUGUACUGGUCCAUUAUAAUAUCACGGUCAUAUCUGCACCUAAACUCAAGGAGACAGUAGUCCGAAAGCUUCUGCAAUAGAUGGGAAGACCAGGAAACCAAAGGAGUCCGUACAGGAUUUGUGUCCAAUACACAACAUCGUGUAAGGUCAUUCUGUAGCUGUACAAAUGAAGAGACGGUUUAGUGAUGUGGAGUCCCCGGUUCAUUUAUACGAGUCCAGUGAAGAGGAAAGAGACACAGCCCUGUAUACGACAAGUGAUGGAGGAAUAGAAGAUGAAAGAGAGGUGACCCUACAUACAAAUGAUGGAGGGGUGGAAAAAGAAAUAGACACAACCCUACAUAUGGCAAGGGAUGAAUGGAUGAAAGAGGAAAGGGACACGACCCUAUGUACAAGUCAUGGAGGGAUGGAAGAGGAACGAGACUCGACCCUACAGACAACAAGUGAUGGAGGGAAGGAAAAGGAAAUAGA